UACACCACGCGGUACAAUAUUUCCAGCGCUAUCCCGACCUGUCUUCUCGUCCUCUAAUAAAAUUUAAGCUUUUUAACUCAAAAAUUAAAUUCAAUAAUUAAUAAUUAUAAGACAGUCUUAAUCUCGUCAAAUCAUUCAUUCCAGUCCUAAAUUAAAGAACAAAUUAUUAUGCUACCUUUGCACAGUUAGAAUACUGCGGCUAUUUAAAAUUUUCACUGAGCAGUUUAGACUUUUUA
rnacentral:lncRNA from 1 species